UGGAUUAGUGGCGAACGGGUGAGUAACACGUGGGCAAUCUGCCCUUCACUCUGGGACAAGCCCUGGAAACGGGGUCUAAUACCGGAUAACACCUGCCCGGGCAUCUGGGUGGGUUAAAAGCUCCGGCGGUGAAGGAUGAGCCCGCGGCCUAUCAGCUUGUUGGUGAGGUAGUGGCUCACCAAGGCGACGACGGGUAGCCGGCCUGAGAGGGCGACCGGCCACACUGGGACUGAGACACGGCCCAGACUCCUACGGGAGGCAGCAGUGGGGAAUAUUGCACAAUGGGCGAAAGCCUGAUGCAGCGACGCCGCGUGAGGGAUGACGGCCUUCGGGUUGUAAACCUCUUUCAGCAGGGAAGAAGCGAAAGUGACGGUACCUGCAGAAGAAGCGCCGGCUAACUACGUGCCAGCAGCCGCGGUAAUACGUAGGGCGCAAGCGUUGUCCGGAAUUAUUGGGCGUAAAGAGCUCGUAGGCGGCUUGUCACGUCGGGUGUGAAAGCCCGGGGCUUAACCCCGGGUCUGCAUUCGAUACGGGCUAGCUAGAGUGUGGUAGGGGAGAUCGGAAUUCCUGGUGUAGCGGUGAAAUGCGCAGAUAUCAGGAGGAACACCGGUGGCGAAGGCGGAUCUCUGGGCCAUUACUGACGCUGAGGAGCGAAAGCGUGGGGAGCGAACA
rnacentral:rRNA from 1 species